GGGGGGGGGGGGGGGGGGGGGGGGGGGGGGGGGGGCGGGCGGGAGGGGGCGGCGGGGGGGGGGGGCGCGGGUGGCGGACGGGUGGGGGACACGGGGGUAACCUGCCCUGGACUGGGGGAUAACUUCAGGAAACUGGGGCUAAUACCGGAUAGGAGCUCCUGCUGCAUGGUGGGGGGUGGAAAGUUUCGGCGGUUGGGGAUGGACUCGCGGCUUAUCCGCUUGUUGGUGGGGUAGUGGCUUACCAAGGCUUUGACGGGUAGCCGGCCUGAGAGGGUGACCGGCCACAUUGGGACUGAGAUACGGCCCAGACUCCUACGGGAGGCAGCAGUGGGGAAUAUUGCACAAUGGGCGGAAGCCUGAUGCAGCAACGCCGCGUGCGGGAUGACGGCCUUCGGGUUGUAAACCGCUUUCGCCUGUGACGAAGCGUGAGUGACGGUAAUGGGUAAAGAAGCACCGGCUAACUACGUG
rnacentral:rRNA from 1 species